UGCCUACUUAUCUGAAAAAGACUAUCAUGUGGUACAUACUUUUGUAUUGUUGAAUUGCGAAGAAGUACUACCUUUUGAAAGGAUUUUUGAUGAACAAGUAUACAACAUGUAUGGUGACGUAAAUGACGAGGAAUUGACCAAAAUUAAAGAAAAAGGGUUUGCUACGUGGUUAAAAGAAUAUAUUCGAACGUCACCAGAAGAUCAUCCAUUGUGGUUGCAUGAGCUAGUUCAAGGGCCCAUUUGUCGUGUUACAUGUUGGCCUAUAUUUUUUACCAGAGGCUACGUUUUCCACACACAUGAACACGGACAACAUCGUUCGACACAUAAUUUUGGUGUUUCUGUGAAAGGGUCAGAGUACUGUGCAUCUGAUAACGAACCCGAUUUUUACGGACUACUGCAGCAGAUUUUUGAACUCCAAUAUGCAGGUCAUUUUGGACUCAAAGUGAUGAUGUUCAGAUGUGAUUGGUUUGAUCCUACACCCAUGAGAGGGAUCAGAGUCA